rnacentral:lncRNA from 10 species
UUUCCAGAGGAGAUUGGCAUGAGUCAGUGAACUGUGUGGAGCAGAUUUGCCCUCAAUGUCAGCAGGCAUCAUCCAAUCAGCUGGGAGCCUGGAUAGAACAGAAGACAGAGAAAAGGUUGACAUAAAUGUGUCCAGAAGCAGGACCUGAAGCAAGAGCACUUUUAGAAGGAAUCUGCGAUUCUUGGAACUGGUGUGCAGUAUUCACUUGAGAUCUCUGAGCUCGCCACGUGCAUGCCU